rnacentral:tRNA from 1 species
GGAGAUUUAGCUCAGCGGCAUAAGUGCCUGCCUUGCAAGCAGGUAGUCGUGGGUUCGAUCCCCAGUACCA